rnacentral:rRNA from 1 species
AUCUAUUUGUUGCUACGCUGCUUAGUGAAUGGCUUGGCUUGAUAUCUGAAGAAGGACGUGGCAAGCUGCGAUAAGCCCCGGCGAGGCGCAUGCGGCCUUUGAACCGGGGAUUUCCGAAUUGCCCCCUUUGGGGGGCGGGAACGCGGAGAAUUGAAACAUCUUAGUACCCGCGGGAAAAGAAAACAACAGUGAUUUCCUGAGUAGGGGCGACCCAAAGGGAAAGAGAGCAAACCGAAUACCCUGCCGCAAGGCAGGGUAGAUGUGGGGUAUGGACACUCUUACAUCCAAAGGCGGGAUCCGAAGCUUCUGGAAAAGUUGCACCAUAGAGGGUGACAGGCCCGUAGGAGAACCGUUCGAGGAUGAGUGGAGAUGUUCCUGAGUAAGGCCGGUUGGUUUUCCGGCAAGAAGAUGGGAGUCACUAACUUCCAACUCUAAAUAUGUAUCAAGACCGAUAGUGAAAUAGUACCGUGAGGGAAAGCUGAAAAGAACCCGUAACAGGGUGUGAAAAGAACCUGAAACUAAGCAGUAUUGUUAUCCGUUUUGAAAAAUGGGGUAAGGAGUGUAGAUCGUUGGCAAGGUUAACUCUUUUUUAUGAGAGGAAGCCACAGCGAAAGCGAGUGCGAAAGUGCGUUUAGUCAGCGGUCUACCACCCGAAACCUAAUGAUCUAACCCGGGACAGGUUGAAGUGUAGCGAAAGCUGCAUGGAGGACCGAACCAGUACUGAGGUGCUACUCGUUUGGAUGAUCCGGGGUUAGGGGUGAAAUGCCAAUCGUAUUGGGUGAUAGCUGGUUCCCCCCAAAAUGAGCCGUAGUUCAGCCUCAAUGCUUAAGUUCGAUGUGUAUAGUUACUGAUCGAGAGGUAGGGGAAGAAAUUCUUCGCCUUUCGGCCAAACUCAGAAGCGUCGAUCAGUAUGCAUUGGGAGUGAGGUUUGCCGGGGAAAGCUCGGUGACCCUGAGGGAAACAACCCUAACUGGCAUUAAGGUCCCAAAGUGAUAACUAAGUACUUUCGAAAGUGUCUCUAUCCUAAAACAGAAGGUAGGUAGGCCUAGAAGCAACCACCCUUUAAAGAGUGCGUAACAGCUCACCUUCCUAGGGUAGUGGCACCCAAGAUGGACGGGGUUAAGUUAUCCACCGAUAUGCCGGUCUCUCAAGUUCGCUUGAGAGAGGUAGGGGGGCGUCUUGCGAGGGCAGAAGCGUUUCUUUAAGGAAGCGUGGACCUUGCUUGAAUGAGAAUCUUACCGAAAGUAGCAACAAAGUGGUGUGAGAAUCACCAUCGCCACAAGUGGGUAAGGGUUCCCUACCAAUGACGAUCAGGUAGGGGUAAGUCAGUAUUCUAACUUGACCGGUAACUUACGUCUCGGAAGAUAAACUGGUUAAUAAUCCAGUACCGUCAAGAAUUAUCUUAUCUGCAGAUUCGGGAUAGGUCAGCGCGAGCCAAGCAUAUAAGCCCUUCGAGUCUCGUAAUGAGGAGAAGAGGGUGAAAGUGUGACGGGCCUCCCUUUGGAGGUUUGGCCAAGUUCUGGAUCCAUUGAAAACAGAAUAAGAGUGUCUUGAUGACUGUACCCAGAACCGACACUGGUACCCACGCUGAGUAGGCGAAGGUGUGAUGGGAUAAUCCUGUCUAGGGAACUCGGCAAUUUAGUAGCGUAUCUUAGGUAUAAGCUAUGCCUGUUUUCCAUUUCGGAAAAGCAGGUCUCAGUGACAAGAAGAACCCGACUGUUUAAUAAAAACAUAUCCGACUGCUAGCCAGAAAUGGUGCGUAUAGUCGGUGAAACCUGCCCAGUGCGGGUGUGUUAAACCCGGCCAAACCGGGCCAAGCCCCCGUAAACGGCGGCGGUAACUCUGACCGUCUUAAGGUAGCGUAAUCCCUUGCCGAUUAAUCGUCGGCCUGCAUGAAGGUCCAACGUGGUUCUUACUGUCCCAGACAGGAACCCAGCGAACUCUCUGCCUGGUGAAUAGGCCAGGAUCUCCUAGUGGGAAGACUAGUCCCUGUGGAGCUUUACUACAGCCUGCUGUUGUGGUGAGUUUUUAGCUGCAUAGAGUAGAUAGGAGCCGUAAGGCGAAAGUGUAACACUAUCCUGCUCGAAACUCACUGCUGACCCCUCCGGGGGGACACCAGUUGGUGGGUAGUUUGGGUGGGGCGCCACACCCCUAACAAUUCAUCAGGGGUGCCCAAAGGUCAGCUCACCGAGGUCAGAAGUCUCGGGAAGAGUGUAAACGCAAAAGCUGGCUUGAUUGGAUACUGAGAAGCAACGUAUCCAAGUGCGAAAGCAUGGGUUAGCGAUAUGCAGCUUUACUUUAGUGGUAGCCUGUAACGUCAGAAAAGCUACCCCAGGGAUAAUGGAGCCGUGGUCCCCAAGAGUCCAUAUCGACGGGACGCGUUGCUACGUCGUUGUUGGCUCCUCUCCUCCUGGGCGUGCAUAAGCGCCCAAGGGUGCAGGGGUUUACUGCUUAAAGAGGGACGCUAGCUGAGUUAAGAACGGCGUGAGCCAGUUCGGUCUAUAUCUGCUAGGAGUGUUAUGUUCUGACAGUAAGGAGGCUAUAGUACGAAAGGAACAAGCUUCCGUGGCCACUGGUGUACCGGUUGUGAUUGCACCGCCGGGUAGCUACGCCAUAUUGGAUAAGAGCUGAAAGCAUCUAAGCACGAAGCCAAGCUGAAAAAAAGAACAACUUAGGAGCUCGUAGAAGACGAGUUUGAUAGAAAGGGGAUGUAAGUACCAAGCUUCGGCGAGGUAUUCAGUCCUCCUUCACUAAAUCCUAGGCGGCAAAUAGAU